UACGUAGGGACCAAGCGUUGUCCGGAAUCAUUGGGCGUAAAGAGCGUGUAGGCGGCUUGUUAAGUCUUGCGUGAAAUCUCGGGGCUCAACCCCGAGCGGUCGUGAGAAACUGGCAGGCUAGAGUGCGGGAGGGGAGACUGGAAUUCCUGGUGUAGCGGUGGAAUGCGCAGAUAUCAGGAGGAACACCGGUGGCGAAGGCGGGUCUCUGGGCAGUAACUGACGCUGAGGAGCGAAAGCGUGGGGAGCGAACAGG
rnacentral:rRNA from 1 species